UACAGAGGGGGCAAGCGUUAUUCGGAAUUAUUGGGCGUAAAGGGCGCGUAGGCGGCUUUGCGUGUCUUUCGUGAAAUCCCUCGGCUCAACUGAGGACGUGCGGAAGAAACUGCAGGGCUGGAGUCCGGGAGAGGAGGGUGGAAUUCCCAGUGUAGCGGUGAAAUGCGUAGAUAUUGGGAAGAACACCGGUGGCGAAGGCGGCUAUCUGGCCCGUAAUUGACGCUGAGGCGCGAAAGCGUGGGGAGCAAACAGG
rnacentral:rRNA from 1 species